rnacentral:rRNA from 1 species
CCUACGGGUGGCAGCAGUGAGGAAUAUUGGUCAAUGGGCGGGAGCCUGAACCAGCCAAGUCGCGUGAAGGAAGAAGGUACUUAGUAUUGUAAACUUCUUUUGUCGGGGAACAAAGGCGGAGACGCGUCUCCGGAUGAGUGUACCCGAAGAAAAAGCAUCGGCUAACUCCGUGCCAGCAGCCGCGGUAAUACGGAGGGUGCAAGCGUUGUCCGGAAUCAUUGGGCGUAAAGAGUUCGUAGGCGGCAUGUAAAGUCAGGUGUUAAAGGCGCAGGCUCAACCUGUGUAUGGCACUUGAUACUUGCAAGCUGGAAUGCGGUAGAGGUAAAGGGAAUGCCUGGUGUAGCGGUGAAAUGCUUAGAUAUCAGGAGGAACAUCGGUGGCGUAAGCGCUUUACUGGGCCGUAAUUGACGCUGAGGAACGAAAGCCAGGGUAGCAAAUGGGAUUAGAUACCCCUGUAGUC